UCCUUCAGCAAUGUAUUGUCCGAAUGC
rnacentral:piRNA from 1 species